AUGUCUAGCUUGCUAGAUGAUGUCGAGUGGCGGACGGGUGAGUAAUGCUUGGGAACUUGCCUUUGGGAGGGGGAUAACAGUUGGAAACGACUGCUAAUACCGCAUAAUGUCUACGGACCAAAGGGGGCUUAGGCUCCUACCUGAAGAGAGGCCCAAGUGAGAUUAGCUAGUUGGUGGGGUAAAGGCUCACCAAGGCGACGAUCUCUAGCUGUUCUGAGAGGAAAAUCAGCCACACUGGGACUGAGACACGGCCCAGACUCCUACGGGAGGCAGCAGUGGGGAAUAUUGCACAAUGGGGGAAACCCUGAUGCAGCCAUGCCGCGUGUGUGAAAAAAGCCUUCGGGUUGUAAAGCACUUUCAGUUGUGAGGAAAGGUUAAUAGUUAAUACCUGCUAACUGUGACGUUAGCAACAGAAAAAGCACCGGCUAACUCCGUGCCAGCAGCCGCGGUAAUACCGAGGGUGCAAGCGUUAAUCGGAAUUACUGGGCGUAAAGCGCACGCAGGCGGUUUGUUAAACUAGAUGUGAAAACCCCGGGCUCCACCUGGGAUGGUCAUUUAG
rnacentral:rRNA from 1 species